CCGAAGUUUGUAGGUAGUGUGGAAGCAUGCGUUUUGUGGUUGCGCAAGCGGCCCGCGAAAUGGUUGUUUUUAAUUUAUUUCUGCCGUUAUUUUUAUGCGUGUUUUUUAGUUAUUAUUAUACUUGAGUGCAAGCACGUAUGUGAUGGAAGGGUGUGAAAUUGUACUAAACGAGGGGCUGCACGUUGGAGCAGCGUGACUGGACUAGGCCGCAUGUGCAGGGAAAAGGUGAAGGCUGCUGACAAAAUCGGAUGGAUGGGGUGUUUUCUGCACGUCCACACGUGGACAGGGUGGUGACAUGGACCGCCACGUCCAGCAGUACUUCAAGAUGAGGGGCUGCACCAUCAGUGUGGGUGGAUGUCCAGGAUAACUGCACAGGAUGAGCCUAUAUUGCUCAAGAAGUGGACCCCAGCCUUGAAGUUAGUGACUCGGAUGAUCAUGUGUGCCCCCCCCCUUUUCCCUCCCGUUCUUUGUCCUAAAAUGAGAAUAAAGCCUUUUUUUUCCCCCA